rnacentral:lncRNA from 1 species
CUCAUCUUGCUUGACUUAUCCAGGCUGAUGCCAUGGGUUGUACUUGUACUAGAAUGAGGUAACUUGGGUCUUACCCCCUCUUUCCAUGGGAAAGGAAAAGGCUUUGGGUUCAGAUCGGGUCUAAGACUGAGUUGUUAACACAACCCUUGAUGCACACAUUUUUUUUAAGAAAGAAUGUUUGUUUCAAGGCUUUGGUCUCAUCAAUCAAGAUCAUGGUAUGCUGAACCGGCCCGUACCGGCCGGUUCAGCACGUACCGUACCAGCCAGCGACCGGACG